CAACCUGAGCUCAGUCGUGAUUACCCGG
rnacentral:rRNA from 1 species